rnacentral:rRNA from 1 species
UACGUAGGCAGCAAGCGUUGUUCGGAAUUACUGGGCGUAAAGAGUGUGUAGGCGGUGCUCUAAGUCUGUCGUGAAAUCUCCCGGCUUAACUGGGAGGGUGCGGCGGAAACUGGAAUGCUAGAGGGUGGGAGAGGAAAGCGGAAUUCCUGGUGUAGCGGUGAAAUGCGUAGAUAUCAGGAGGAACACCUGCGGUGUAGACAGCUUUCUGGACCACUUCUGACGCUGAGACACGAAAGCGUGGGUAGCAAACAGU